rnacentral:rRNA from 1 species
UUCGUGUGAACAGUGGUUGAUCACGAGUUAGUCGGUCCUAAGUUCAAGGCGAAAGCCGAAAAUUUUCAAGUAAACGUUUAUAUACAUCAAACAAUACCAAUAUACUUAAAACACUUGAAUAAUUUUGAACGAAAGGGAAUACGGUUCCAAUUCCGUAACCUGUUGAGUAUCCGUUUGUUAUUAAAUAUGGGCCUCGUGCUCAUCCUGGCAACAGGAACGACCAUAAAGAAGCCGUCGAGAGAUAUCGGAAGAGUUUUCUUUUCUGUUUUAUAGCCGUACUACCAUGGAAGUCUUUCGCAGAGAGAUAUGGUAGAUGGGCUAGAAGAGCAUGACAUAUACUGUUGUGUCGAUAUUUUCUCCUCGGACCUUGAAAAUUUAUGGUGGGGAUACGCAAACUUCUCAACAGGCCGUACCAAUAUCCGCAGCUGGUCUCCAAGGUGAAGAGUCUCUAGUCGAUAGAAUA